AUACGUAGGUGGCAAGCGUUGUCCGGAAUUACUGGGCGUAAAGGGUGCGUAGGCGGUUCAUUAAGUGGGAUGUGAAAUACCCGGGCUUAACCUGGGAACUGCAUUCCAAACUGGUGAGCUAGAGUGCAGGAGAGGAAAGUGGAAUUCCCAGUGUAGCGGUGAAAUGCGUAGAGAUUGGGAGGAACACCAGUGGCGAAGGCGACUUUCUGGACUGUAACUGACGCUGAUGCACGAAAGUGUGGGGAGCAAACAGGAUUAGAUACCCUGGUAGUCCACACUGUAAACUAUGAGUACUAGGUGUAGGGGGCGAAGCCCUCUGUGCCGCAGUUAACACAUUAAGUACUCCGCCUGGGAAGUACGAUCGCAAGAUUAA
rnacentral:rRNA from 1 species